rnacentral:misc_RNA from 1 species
GUGAAUCAUCGAAUUUUUGAACGCAAAUUGCGCUUCCUGGCAUCCCGGGAAGUAUGCCUGUUUGAGGGUCAGUAUUAACAAAAAAUCGGCUUGGUUGCAAAUUGUGACGUUUCCGGAGUUUGGGCUAUCUUAACUUUUUUGGUUAAGGGGCUUAAAAUUGACCUUUUUGGGGCUUUUUUAGAGGUAAUAAAUUUUUUUUUUAUCGUUUUAUCUUAAUUCCAAAAUCUUAUUUAGAUCGAAC